AAGAAAUUAUUGAUGAAUUUGGAGCUACGGAUAUUAAAACUGAUGGUUGGCGCUAAUAAAUCUUCUGAUCAGUUGACAGCAAUUGCUGAUAGAAUAUUGCAAGAAGCAGGGAAUAACGAUGGAGUUAUUACUUUUGAAGAAUUCUCCAAGAUUAUGUUGAAAACGGAUUUUCAUACAAAAAUGAGCAUCAGAUUUUUAGCAAAAUAAAAUGUAAUAAUCAAUCAGCAGUUUUUAUAAUAAUUGUAUAUUAUUUGAGAAAACAUUUCUUUG
rnacentral:lncRNA from 1 species